CGAGUCCGAGUCUCCACGGAGACGAAGUGGCGGUCAUCCAGCUUCCUAGAAGAGCUCUAACCACGUUAAUCUUUAGUUGCCUGUACCCGAAACCGACACAGGUAGGGGGGUAGAGAAUACCAAGGGGCGCGAGAUAACUCUCUCUAAGGAACUCGGCAAAAUGACCCCGUAACUUCGGGAGAAGGGGUACCACUGAGAAGUGGUCGCAGUGAAGAGGCCCAGGCGACUGUUUACCAAAAACACAGGUCUCCGCCAAGUCGCAAGACGAAGUAUGGGGGCUGACGCCUGCCCAGUGCCGGAAGGUUAAGGAAGUGGGUUAGGGAUUCGUCCCGAAGCUGACGACUGAAGCCCCGGUGAACGGCGGCCGUAACUAUAACGGUCCUAAGGUAGCGAAAUUCCUUGUCGGGUAAGUUCCGACCCGCACGAAAGGCGUAACGAUCUGGGCGCUGUCUCGGAGAGAGGCUCGGCGAAAUAGGAUUGUCAGUGAAGAUACGGACUACCUGCACCUGGACAGAAAGACCCUAUGAAGCUUUACUGUAGCUUGGAAUUGGGUUCGGGCUUGGUUUGCGCAGGAUAGGUGGGAGGCGAAGAAGAUUUGCUUGUGGGUGAAUCUGAGCCAACGGUGAGAUACCACUCUAACCAGGCUAGAAUUCUAACUUCAACCCGUCAACCGGGGGAAGGACAGUUUCAGGUGGGCAGUUUGACUGGGGCGGUCGCCUCCUAAAAGAUAACGGAGGCGCACAAAGGUUCCCUCAGGCUGGUUGGAAAUCAGCCAACGAGUGCAAAGGCAGAAGGGAGCUUGACUGCGAGACCUACAAGUCAAGCAGGGUGGAAACACGGUCUUAGUGAUCCGACGGCACCGAGUGGAAGGGCCGUCGCUCAACGGAUAAAAGUUACUCUAGGAUAACAGGCUGAUCUCCCCCAAGAGUUCACAUCGACGGGGAGGUUUGGCACCUCGAUGUCGGCUCAUCGCAACCUGGGGCGGAAGUACGUCCCAAGGGUUGGGCUGUUCGCCCAUUAAAGCGGUACGUGAGCUGGGUUCAGAACGUCGUGAGACAGUUCGGUCCAUAUCCGGUGUAGGCGCAAGAACAUUGAGAGGAGUCUUCCUUAGUACGAGAGGACCGGGAAGAACGCACCGCUGGUGUACCUGUUAUCGUGCCAACGGUAAACGCAGGGUAGCCAAGUGCGGAGUGGAUAACCGCUGAAAGCAUCUAAGUGGGAAGCCCACCUCAAGAUGAGUGUUCUCAUGGAGUAAUCCAGUAAGGUCACGGGAAGACGACCCGUUGAUAGGCGGUAGGUGGAAGUUCAGCAAUGGAUGAAGCCGAGCCGUACUAACAGACCGAGGGCUUGAU
rnacentral:rRNA from 1 species